rnacentral:lncRNA from 1 species
CCCGCCCCGAUUUUUUUUAUUUUGCAAAAUUUACGAUUUCCGGAUUUUGUUCAUUUCCGUUACCGGUAACCGUCAAUAAUUUCGUUUCAUUCGAACUUCCUGUUUAUAAAAUUUCGGUUUUCAUAUUUCUUGUUUCGAGUACUUUAAAACGAUUAUGUUGACAAAAUCUGCUGCUCAAUGAUGACAAUAUCAUCUACGGAGAAUAUAGAAAGAUUACCAGAA